GCAAACGGUAGUUUUAUCCGACCACACACGCAGUGUGUUAGUGCUGAGACGAGUGAUUGGCAGCUUUCGGGCUGCCGAUGCACUCGUAACAGAGUUCUUAUGGUCAAGCUACUAAGGGCGUACGGUGAAUGCCUUGGCGCUAGAAGUCGAUGAAGGACGUGGUAAGCUGCGAUAAGCUUCGGGGAGCCGCAAACAGGCUUUGAUCCGGAGAUUUCCGAAUGGGGAAACCCACCUUGGGUCAUACCGAGGUAUCCCGGACUGAAUUCAUAGGUCCGUGGAAGGCAACGUGGGGAAGUGAACCAUCUCAGUACCACAGGAAGAGAAAACAACAGUGAUUCCGCUAGUAGCGGCGAGCAACGCGGAUUAGCCCAAACCUUCGUGCUUGCACGGGGGGGUUGGAGGGUCUGUUUGGCCGCAAGGCCGACGAGUUACAAACCGGCAACAUAGUCGAACAGCUUGGAAAAGCUGGCCACAGAGGGUGAUAGCCCCGUAGGCGAAAUGAUGCUGGCUCGUUGGACAGAUACCUGAGUAGCGCGGGACACGAGAAAUCCCGUGUGAAUCUGCGAGGACCAUCUCGCAAGGCUAAAUACUCUCUAGCGACCGAUAGUGAACCAGUACCGUGAGGGAAAGGUGAAAAGAACCCCUGCGAGGGGAGUGAAAUAGUACCUGAAACCGUAUGCCUACAAGCAGUGGGAGGGCUAUGCCAUCUUCGGAUGGAAUGCCUGACCGCGUGCCUUUUGCAUAAUGAGCCGGCUAGUUAUUCUCAGUGGCGAGGUUAAGCGACAGCGAGCCGAAGCGAAAGCGAGUCCGAAUGGGGCGUAUAGUCGCUGGGAAUAGACGCGAAGCGAGGUGAUCUACCCUUGGCCAGGGUGAAGUACAGGUAACACUGUAUGGAGGCCCCAACCAGUGUUGGUUGAAAACAACUUGGAUGAGCUGAGGGUAGGGGUGAAAGGCUAAUCAAACCUCGUGAUUGCCCGUUCUCCUCGAAAUGUCUUUAGGGACAGCCUCCGGAAGUCGGCGUUGGUGGUAGAGCACUGGAUGGACUAGGGGGCUUACCAGCUUACUGAAUCCAACCAAAC
rnacentral:rRNA from 1 species